rnacentral:tRNA from 1 species
GGGCCCAUAGCUCAGUCGGUUAGAGCUGCGGACUCAUAAUCCGUUGGUCCCUGGUUCGAGUCCAGGUGGGCCCA